ACACUUCCUCAGGGGAUGCAGAAUAAAAUUUAAUAAGGAAUGGACCCGCUCCAGUAUACGUGACCAGCCGGAAGCUGGAAGCUCUCUGUGGGACGUGUGGCCUCCGUGUGAACUCAUGAUGGAUGGGCCCACCAGUCAAUUAUCCUUCCACACUGGGAACUCUGGCCGUCACCGAAACUUUGCCAUAAUCCAGUUCUACGAAGUAUUGACAUCUUGCUAAGUGGACCUACUAAAUAAUGAGGAAAAGAUGAAGCUUAUAAAGAAUAUUGACUUUGUGACCAAUUCAAGACCUGUUACCACUAUCCAUUGUGUGUCGGCUCUUAACCUCUGUUUGCUCGAUUCCUCAUUUCUGCAAGGGGGCGUAUAAAGUUGGUAAGAGAAUGGAGUGAGUUGGUAAUUGGAACAGUGCCCGAGACAUGAUAAGUGUUCAAUAAGUAUUACAUACUAUUACAUAAUAAAUAUUGCAAUUAAAGAUCAAUUUUACUACCUUUAACGUUUUCUGAUGGUAGCAGCUAAGAUGUAAGGGUUUAAUGUAGAUCCUUGCAGAUUUCUCUGACUGGGAUCCUGAUCUAUUUGUUUAUUCCUUAUAUUUUUCUUUAUAUAUUUCUUUUCUAUGUUUUAAAAUAAACAUUGUUUUAAAAAUUUGCCCUAACCCUUUUGUUUAAAGUUGUUUUUUUUUUUAACCAGACAUUUCUUUAAGUAAAACAUGGCUAGCUAGAGAUAACAUCGAAAUAAAGAGCAAUAAUUUCAUAGAACAGUGGUUCUUAAGUCUUUUUGGGUUAUUGAUCCCUUUGAGAAUUGGAUGAAAGCUCUCCCCUAAAAAAUGCACAUGUAAACACACACACACACGCAUACACACAUACACAAGCACACACACAAUUUUGAUUAUAAUUAGGGGGAGUUUGUGGAUCCCGAAAACCAACCAAUAAAUCCACCAGGCAGCCGUGAAAAUAAGCCUUGAAUUGAUUGCAAAGUGUACAUUCUUCCUUUUUAAAAGAUUUUAUUUUUUUAAGUAGUUUCUAUACCCAGCAAGGGGCUCGAACUCA